rnacentral:rRNA from 1 species
CUUGCAUACCUAUAAGAGGUCCAGCCUGCCCAGUGACUCUGUUCAACGGCCGCGGUAUCCUAACCGUGCGAAGGUAGCGUAAUCACUUGUUCUUUAAAUGAGGACUAGUAUGAAUGGCACCACGAAGGUUAUACUGUCUCCUCUCUCUAAUCAGUGAAACUAAUCUCCCCGUGAAGAAGCGGGGAUAAUCUUAUAAGACGAGAAGACCCUAUGGAGCUUUAAACUAAGAAUCAACUGCCUUUACCAUAUUUAAAUUCCAGAAGACUAACUUUUACCAAGACAUUCUGAUCUCUAGUUUUAGGUUGGGGUGACCACGGAGUAAAAACUAACCUCCGCAAUGAACAGGGAUCUUCCCUUAACCAAGGACCACAACCCCAAGAAUCAAUACAUUGACAUCAAUUGACCCAUUAAACCUGAUCAAUGAAC